AGAACGAACGCUGGCGGCGCGCCUAACACAUGCAAGUCGAACGCUCCGGUUUCGGCCGGGGAGUGGCGGACGGGUGAGUAACGCGUGGGAACCUGCCUUUCGGCUCGGGACAACCGUGGGAAACUACGGCUAAUACCGGAUACGCCCUGGAGCCAUAUCUGGGAGAAAGAUUUAUCACCGAAAGAUGGGCCCGCGUCCGAUUAGCUAGACGGUGAGGUAAUGGCUCACCGUGGCUUCGAUCGGUAGCCGGCCUGAGAGGGUGGUCGGCCACACUGGGACUGAGACACGGCCCAGACUCCUACGGGAGGCAGCAGGUGGGAAUCUUGGACAAUGGGCGAAAGCCGUGAUCCAGCGACGCCGCGUGGGUGAGUGGAGGUCCGUUCGGGUUAGUAAAGGUCCCGUUUAACCGGGACGAGU
rnacentral:rRNA from 1 species